rnacentral:lncRNA from 1 species
GGGUGUGUUUGGUAUGCCUCACUAGACAGGACUAUGCUAAAUAAGCCUUGAAACCCAUGUUUGGUAAAAUGGGGGACUAAGUUAAAUGGGAUUGUGGAGUCCAACAGUUAAAAAACCUCCUCACUCGCUCUCCUUAUACAGAGAGGCUGAAAUGCAGUUCACAAAAUAGCGAGCGUGCUAUUUUGACGCGCAAGUCCGACUAAUCCAAUCGCAAGACCAAAUCCAUAUCCAAGCUUCAAGAAUCAAUUUCUUCUUCUUCUUCACCUAGAAUUAUCACCACCAUAAACCCAGUCACACCAACCAACCACCACCAAUUCAAACUCAACCACUUGAAUCAACCACCACCAAAUCAAACCCAGUGGAACCACAACCCAAUUGAACCUUUCGAAAAAUUACCAACCAUUGAUCG